UUACCAGGGUUUUGACAUGCAAGUAGUAGGAAUCUGAAAGGACCGACCCUUUCGGGGAGCUUUGCACAGGUGCUGCAUGGCUGUCGUCAGCUCGUGUCGUGAGAUGUUCGGUUAAGUCCGCUAACGAGCGCAACCCUCACUGUGUGUUAUAUGUGUCACACGGGACUGCCGGUUUUUAAGCCGGAGGAAGGUGGGAUGACGUCAAGUCAGCAUGGCCUUUAUAUCCUGGGCUACACACACGCUACAAUGGUCGGUACAAUAGGUUGCCAAGCCGCGAGGCGGAGCCAAUCCACAAAGCCGGCCUCAGUUCAGAUUGUAGGCUGCAACUCGCCUGCAUGAAGAUGGAGUUGCUAGUAACCGCAGGUCAGCAAUACUGCGGUGAAUACGUUCCCGGGUCUU
rnacentral:rRNA from 1 species